rnacentral:rRNA from 1 species
AUUGAACGCUGGCGGCACGCCUAACACAUGCAAGUCGAGCGGCAGCAUGCUUAGUAGCAAUACUAAGUGAUGGCGAGCGGCGGACGGGUGAGGAACACGUAGGAACCUGCCCAAGAGAGGGGGAUAACUAAGGGAAACUUUAGCUAAUACCGCAUAAUCUCUGAGGAGAAAAGUUGCCCGCAAGGGUAGCGCUUUUGGAGGGGCCUGCGUCCGAUUAGUUAGUUGGUGAGGUAAUGGCUCACCAAGACGAUGAUCGGUAACUGGUCUGAGAGGACGACCGGUCACACUGGGACUGAGACACGGCCCAGACUCCUACGGGAGGCAGCAGUGGGGAAUCUUGGACAAUGGGGGCAACCCUGAUCCAGCGAUGCCGCGUGGGUGAAGAAGGCCUUCGGGUUGUAAAGCCCUUUAGGCUGGGAAGAAGAGUGCGGGGUGAAUAAUCCUGUACUUUGACGGUACCAGCAGAAUAAGCACCGGCAAACUCUGUGCCAGCCGCCGCAGUAA